rnacentral:piRNA from 1 species
UAGGAGCGUUGAACUCCCUGGGGCAAGUC